rnacentral:rRNA from 1 species
UACGUAGGGUCCGAGCGUUGUCCGGAAUUACUGGGCGUAAAGAGCUCGUAGGUGGUUUGUCGCGUUGUUCGUGAAAACUCACAGCUCAACUGUGGGCGUGCGGGCGAUACGGGCAGACUUGAGUACUGCAGGGGAGACUGGAAUUCCUGGUGUAGCGGUGGAAUGCGCAGAUAUCAUUUGGAACGCCAAUGGUGAAAACAGGUAGCUGGGAGUGUGCUGACACUGAGACACGAAAGCCAGGGGAGCGAACGGG